AACGAACGCUGGCGGCAUGCCUAACACAUGCAAGUCGAACGAGACCUUCGGGUCUAGUGGCGCACGGGUGAGUAACGCGUGGGAACCUGCCCUUAGGUUCGGAAUAACUCCCCGAAAGGGGUGCUAAUACCGGAUAAUGUCUUCGGACAAAAGAUUUAUCGCCUUUGGAUGGGCCCGCGUUUGAUUAGCUAGUUGGUAGGGUAAAAGCCUACCAAGGCCGGCAUUCAUGGCUGGGUUGGGGGGAGGAUCAGCAACACUGGGAUUGAGGCACGCCCCAGACCCUACGGGGAGGAGGCAGGGGGGAAUAUGGGAAAUGGGGCGAAAGCUUGAGCAGCCAUGGCGGGGGGAGUGAGGAAGGCUUUAGGGUGGAAAAGUUUUUCUACCGGGGAGAUUAUGACGGGAACCGGGGGAGUAGCCCCGGCUAACUUCGUU
rnacentral:rRNA from 1 species